rnacentral:rRNA from 1 species
CAGCAGCCACGGGAAUACGUAGGUGGCAAGCGUUGUCCGGAAUUAUUGGGCGUAAAGGGCUCGCAGGCGGUUUCUUAAGUCUGAUGUGAAAGCCCCCGGCUCAACCGGGGAGGGUCAUUGGAAACUGGGAAACUUGAGUGCAGAAGAGGAGAGUGGAAUUCCACGUGUAGCGGUGAAAUGCGUAGAGAUGUGGAGGAACACCAGUGGCGAAGGCGACUCUCUGGUCUGUAACUGACGCUGAUGCACGAAAGCUAGGGGAGCAAACAGGAUUAGAUACCCCCGUAGUCCCUGUCUCUUAUAC